ensembl:lincRNA 1700008K24Rik RIKEN cDNA 1700008K24 gene
GAAGUAAGGGGCCAUUGUGAAGAUGGAAGAAUGCCCACAAAAUCCAGCUUGAAACCUGCUGGCUCUGAGGGUCCUGCUGGCUCAGCAGUGCUGGUAACCAAGAAGUAUCGCAGGCCCAGGAAAGUUACCCUUCUAUUUGCGGAGAGCUAUUGCCUAUCGGCCUGGACCAGCAGAUAACUCAGCACUCAUGAUCAGCUGUCAAGCUAUAACGGAGUGUUGAGGCAGUCCCUGAAACCACAGCGCCAUUUUGUAGGAACUAAGAAGCCAACCUCAAGGAAUCACUCGCCCCAAGAAGACUUUGUUCUGAUCUGAUGUGUUUCUAGCCUGGUGGAGCCUCAGCUAUCCAAAGGAAGAGCUGUUAAGAUGAUUGGAAUUUUGGUUUUUCCGAUUCACUCUUUUUUCUCUCCAGCCAUCUGCCUUAGACAGCAGGAGAAAAGGAAACUUAGCCUCAGAGGUGGGGUCCUUCGGAAGGACUGACAGUGGGCUAGCUCUCCUGCUGCUGGGAGCCUGAGUGCCUUUGGCUCCUUGUCCAGACCUCAGCUUUACCACGGAGGUUACCUGCUUACCAUCAACAUCGAAACUUGCCUCUUCCCCUGGGUGUAUUCUCCCUCUUUUGUGUACAGUUUGAUUCCUCCAAACUGCUCUCCCUGUGAAGAAAGCCGAUGGAAUUCAGGGAGCCUGGCCAGCCACCCAGGCCUUUAUAAAGGUCCUCGUACCACAGGAUGUAUGGGAGACCCAAUAAAGACUUUUGCAAAAUG